UGCCAGCUGCCAUGUUUCUAGUUUGUCCUUUCAUUUUACUUGAAGUGGUGUUUGCCAGUUUCACUUGCAACUAUAUCAUUAUCAUCUGGUUAUAAAUACAAAGGAAGAACUUACUAAAUUACUGGUAGCUCUUCUGAUAAAUUUCAGGGCAAGUCUACACUACAAAAUUAAGUCACCUUAGUUAGGUCAAUGUAUAGCCGCUGCAGUAAUUAAAUCGCUUUUGCAUGUCCACACUACGCUGCUUGUGUUGGUGGUGUGUGUCCUUACUUGCAGCACUUACAUGAUGCAGAGAGCAGUGCACUGUGGGUUGCUCUCGGAAGCUUGUCACCAUCUAGCACACUGUUUUGAGAAGGAUUUGCAAAGUCUAAUGGGGGCAAACAAGUCACGCAGGGGUCACUGGGAACAUAGUUUAAUGUCUCUUGAUGCAGUUUUCUUCAUCCCAUAAUUUUAUCUGCAUUCCAUAAUGUUUUGCGCCACUUCUCAAAAGCCCUGCAAACGUGCAUGUGUGCCAUCUGUGUGAGAAGCAUGGAUCCUGCACAGCUCUGCACUAUUGUGAUGAGCAUUGUGAGCACAGUGUGCCUGAUCCUGAAGUUUUUUCAAAACUACCAGAGGAACUGCAGGAAACAUCAUGAUACCUUGGAAGCUAGCUUGCUGUGCGACAUAGAAAGAAACAGCUCCAGGUUGUUGCUGGCAUUCACCUAGCAGCUACAGAUGAUGGAGUGCUGAUUCUGGGCCCGAGAAAUAAGCACUGACUGAUGGGAUUGCAUCGUUACACAGGUAUGGGAUGAUGAGCAGUGGCUUCAGAACUUUUGAAUGUGCAACGCCACAUUGCUGGAUAUGUGUGCAGAGUUUGCCUCAGCCCUCCAAUGUAGUGACACCAAAAUGAGAGCUGCACUGACAGUGGAAAAGCAGCAUCAUUUGAGAGAAGCAUUGGAACAGCAGCUGGGCAUGGAUUUCUCUCCUCUUGCCCAUUUAGUCUUGAAGAUAUUUUUAUGGACUAAAUUCCAAAAUGGACCACCAGAAAUUAUUAUUUUGAAACUAUAUCACAAUGCUCCAAACUUAACAAAACUUAGGAAGUUUCUUUGAGAAGCUCAGUUUUUAAGAAGAUUGAACUCUGCAUCACUCCUAAGUCAAUUAUUAUUUUAUUCAAACCAAAUAUAGCUACGCAUUUUUAUGCAUUGUAUUAUUCACCUGCUUCAGAUCUAUAACUCCCUAAAUUAUUUUGGACUGAGAUUUAAAUCUCUGCUGAGUCAGGACAGUGUGUUCCAACUUUCAGUUGUUGAAACAUGACCCUGAGUUUGCUCUUUAUAAUGUCUACUUGAUGUAUAAUUAAAUAUGGAAAUUUUUAUAGCUCCUAUAGCUUGGUAUGUAACUAAAAUUGUUGUUUGCCUAUGUAAAUUGGAUUACUUAAAUUGUCAUUGGUUGUUUUAUACUUCAGUUAAGAGGAGUAUGUAAGGAAGUUUAUAUUAUAAAAGAAAUUGCAUUACCAAUUAUACUCUUAAGUGGUUUGACUCCAUUUAGGCAUUCAUUAGAAUUUAUAUUGGUAUAAAUUAAGACCUGUGUUUUACUCAUGCCUGUUGGAUGUAAUAGGGGAAUUUACUGUUUGUAACUUGAAUAAAAAUGCUUGGCAAAUUAAAAA